ACAGUGGACGCGAGCAUCUUUGUGGCUCAAGUUUUUAAGGGCACACGGUGGAUGCCUUGGCACCAGGAACCGAAGAAGGACGUAGGAAUCUGCGAUAAGCCUCGGGGAGUCGAUAACCAGACUGUGAUCCGAGGAUUUCCGAAUGGGGAAACCCGGCUGGAGGCAAGUCCAGUCACUCCCGCCUGAACACAUAGGGCGGGUAGAGGGAACGUGGGGAAGUGAAACAUCUCAGUACCCACAGGAAGAGAAAGCAACCGCGAUUCCGUGAGUAGUGGCGAGCGAAAGCGGAAGAGGCUAAACCUCAGUUGUGUGAUACCUGUCAGGGGUUGCAGCUGGGGGGUCGUGGGACUUUUCGGUCAGUGCUGACACGCUGGCAUGGAGUCAGAAAUGCGCGUUGUAGUCGAAGGGCAUUGAAAGGCCCGGCACAGAGGGUGCUACCCCCGUAGACGAAACGAUGCGCACUCCAGAGAAGUAUCCCAAGUAGCACGGGGCCCGAGAAAUCCCGUGUGAAUCUGGCGGGACCACCCGCUAAGCCUAAAUAUUCCCUGGUGACCGAUAGCGGACAAGUACCGUGAGGGAAAGGUGAAAAGUACCCCGGGAGGGGAGUGAAAUAGAUCCUGAAACCGUGUGCCUACAAUCCGUCGGAGCCUCCUUGUGGGGUGACGGCGUGCCUUUUGAAGAAUGAGCCUGCGAGUUAGUGCUCAGUGGCGAGGUUAACCCGUGUGGGGAAGCCGUAGCGAAAGCGAGUCCGAAUAGGGCGUUUUAGUCGCUGGGUCUAGACCCGAAGCGGAGUGAUCUACCCAUGGCCAGGUUGAAGCGACGGUAAGACGUCGUGGAGGACCGAACCCACUUAGGUUGAAAACUGAGGGGAUGAGCUGUGGGUAGGGGUGAAAGGCCAAUCAAACUCCGUGAUAGCUGGUUCUCCCCGAAAUGCAUUUAGGUGCAGCGUCACGUGUUUCUUACCGGAGGUAGAGCUACUGGAUAGCUGAUGGGCCUCACCAGGUUACUGACGUUAGCCAAACUCCGAAUGCCGGUAAGUGAGAGCGUGGCAGUGAGACUGCGGGGGAUAAGCUCCGUAGUCGAGAGGGAAACAGCCCAGACCACCAUCUAAGGUCCCUAAGCGUGUGCUAAGUGGGAAAGGAUGUGGAGUUGCAUUGACAACCAGGAGGUUGGCUUAGAAGCAGCCACCCUUUAAAGAGUGCGUAAUAGCUCACUGGUCAAGUGAUUCCGCGCCGACAAUGUAGCGGGGCUCAAGCACACCACCGAAGCUGUGGCAUUGACACACUGCUCGGCCAGUUUUCCUGCGGGGUUCUGGUCCAGGCGUGUUGAUGGGUAGGGGAGCGUCGUGUGGCCAGGGAAGCGGCGGAGUGAUCCAGCCGUGGAGGCCACACGAGUGAGAAUGCAGGCAUGAGUAGCGAAUGACGGGCGAGAAACCCGUCCGCCGAAUAACCAAGGGUUCCAGGGUCAAGCUAAUCUGCCCUGGGUAAGUCGGGACCUAAGGCGAGGCCGACAGGCGUAGUCGAUGGACAUCCGGUUGAUAUUCCGGAACCGGCGAAGAACCGCCCAUGACGAACCUAGU
rnacentral:rRNA from 1 species